AUGGAUGUUGCACAAGACGACCCCGUCGCGCGGGAUCCAUGUAUUGCAAGCCUCCCCAUGCCUCCAAUGAUCCGCGCCGCCGGCAUCUUCGUCGAUGAGCCGCGAUCCACCAAAAGCGUCGAAGCUAGAUCCAGCCAUGGCAGAGGCAGAUCCAGGAAAUGGUGGGGGAGGAAGGUUAGGGGAGGGAAGGCACCAGACUUGUGCUCGCCGGUGUUAGGAGGUAGUACUAGGAGGGGUGGGGUGGGUGUUGGCUUGCGAGGUGGAGGGGUGGCGCGCCACGGGGAGAAGGAGGCAGGGGCGCUGGGAGGGCGCGACGGCCGGCAAGGUGGUGCGGUUGGAGGUGAGAGGCGGCGUGCCGGCGUGAGCCCGGGUUGGCGGCGGGGUGGGAAGGCAGGUGGUGCGGCGGCCGGAGGGGAGGCACGUGUCCGGGGAAGAAGGGAAGAGGGGAGGGAGGGAGGGAAGGUGCAGGGGUAG
rnacentral:rRNA from 1 species